rnacentral:lncRNA from 1 species
AAUGACUCAUCAUAGCACAAUGCUUCGAAUGACAAUAAAGAAUAAAUAAUGAUAUUAAAGACUAGAGUCAUUUACAUAAUAUGAAUCAAAGUACACAGAAUCGAAACGUAGCCAAUGUAAAUAAACCCACCACAGACAGCUGACUGGGGGAGGUCGCUAGCCUAAUCCUCGAACUCGUCGAAGUCCUGGAACUCCUGGAGAACCGCCUCGACGCCUUCUUAUUUACCUGGGCAUAGAUUGCACCAAAGGCAACCUGGUAUUUUGUGAAAGCAAGGGUGAGUACACAUCAACGUACUCAGCAAAUGUCCUGUUUGGCUGAGGUGGACUAGCUUUAUGUGGAGUUAAGCUCAAGCAGUUGCUUUUAGUUGGCCAGGUGUUUAUUAUUAGUGGAAGCCCAAGUUUUAUCAUAUAACCAACCCGUGAACCAUUUCCUCACCGAGGAAGCAUCAUUAUCAUCAUCAGACCAAAACCAUAAAUAGAACCAUUGUAUCUCGAUCAUAUGUAUCUCUAAUCAAAGAGGAUCCUAAGGCCGCUCAUAACCAUGAGCACGGCUGAUAUAUCAGUUUCAUUCCCUCUGCAGAGGUCGCAAACUUUACCCAUGAGUCGUGAUUCCCUUUCUGCCCAGGGAGAGCUAAUCCCCAUUGAUCACUUCCUAGGUGGUCCGGCAGGGUAUCACUACGUAGCUGUUACAAAGAUUCCCUAGAGGUCAUAGCCGCCCGUUAGGUUUCUCCAGUUUGAUAAACACAGUACCCCUCCCCGCAGGAGGGUGACUAACAAAAGCAAAACGAAAGAACCUCGGCACUCAGCCUCGACAGAGCAAGCACUGUGCCUGGACCCCAUUGACGGCACGACGGCGAAGCAACUACACCUCUAGUUCCUCUAAUUAAUUAGCUAAGGGCAUCCCAUUUCACCCUCAUGGUUGCACUGUUAUCCCGGGUGGUCUCUCAACGAACAGGUCCUUACGGAGAGGUACUCGGGAAACAACCCGAGUCCCCUUAAAUGCCACAAGUAUAUCAUCAUAUCCAGAAUAAGACCAUAGUAUCAUCAUUGUAUCUCAUCAUGUUCAUUGAUUAAAGUAAAGCGCUAGCAUGUAGCUAACCAUAGUAACCCAAAAGGUAAAUCAAGGACAAGGUGAAUAGAAAGCUAGUAAAUCCUUAGGUUUCAAUUAAGUAGUGCAGGACAGUGAAUUAUAAAUAGAUAGGACAUAAUGGGUCAGAGGACACUUGCCUUCACCAACCAGAUGCUUAGGGUCUUCAACUUCGUAGAACUCGUAGAGUUUGAUCUCUUGGUCGCCGAAGCUUGACCGUCGAUUCCUCGAAGCUCGGAAACAAAUCACGAUCUAUUCCCGACGCAUAGCGAAUACAAACAGGAACAAACAAACAAAUAUAUAUGCAUAAGAACAUUACACCAUACCAGAUAAAAUAUUAUAAAAGCAUGCAACAUAAAAUAGAGCUCGAUUCUACGGUCACGCGAUAGAAAGAAACGUCGAACUCGAAGCUACGGUUGAGAAGUUAGCGCAUUAAUGUUAAACAAGUAUUAACUAUAACUUUUAGUUCAACAUUAUCAAAUAUCAAUAUUAUACAUCGUUUAGUUCGAUUAAUCUGCUACACCAACAAAUGUCAGUUAAUUAAAUAAUUUAAUUAAAACGAGAGAUUCUAAGCGAGACGAAUUUACGACGCGUGAAACUACACGACAGCGUACAAACGACGCACAGACACGCGCGACAUAGCACGCUGACGACACACGAAACAGCGCGCGCGACGAGCGCGAACGACGCGCGAACCAGCACGACAGUGUGCGAAACAACGCGCAGACACGCGCGAUAUAGCAUGUUGACGACACACGAAAUAGUGCGCGCGACCAGAGCGAACGACGCACGAACCGACAUGCCACCACAUGCAGAACAGCUCGCGCAACAGGCGAGAAAAUACUAAAUAGAAGACGCGUUUAUACUAAACAAAUAUUAAAUAAAUAAAAGUAGUUAAGUUCACAUUAGCCAUGUUAAUGUUUGUUAUAAAAGCGCAAGUUGAACACUACACAUUUAAUCUAAUUGGAAUAUUAAUUUAAUAAAUAUUAGUCGAGCAAACCUUAAGUCAAUUAUCUAAAAUAUGUGACCUGACGAAUUAACGUUAUUAACAUGAGUGUUUAUAAGCAAAAAAACAAUUUAUUAUCACGCGCAAACGUCGUGCGACACACGUGGUCGACACAUGAUAUACGCGCGACCCACGCGAACAGCGCGCGACGACGCGUGCGAACGGCGCACGAGCGGCACGCGACGAUGCGAGCGAAAUAGCACUGCGGCACGCGAAACAAUGCACGCAACGUCGCGCCAACGACGCCCACGAACGACGCACGAACAACAUGCAUACGACGCGCGGACAUCGCGACGAUGGCGAGCGCAAUACACGCGAACAACGAGUAAACAACGCGCGACACGCGAGAUUCACUAACAGAUAUCAUGUUUAUACUAAACAAGUAUAAAUUAAGAAACGUUCGAGUAGGCAUAGUCAUAUUAACAUGUAUUUAUAAAGCACAACUAAAACUAUAAAUUAGUUUAACUAGAUUGCUACUUUUAUAAUUGUUGGAUAAAUAAAUAAUUAAAUAAAAUAAAAUGUGUAUUAUGACAAAAAAAUGCUACUAAUACUAAAUAGACGUUGCUAUGAAGUUAACGCGACUGAAACAAGUCCAAACAGAUUUAUGAUGAAUAAUAUAUUGAAUAAAUAACAAUUCGUGGAUUACAAAAUACACGGCUAGUGAGAACCGCUAAUCACACAUCACGAUUACCCUAAGCACAUAUUGAAUCAAGACAUUUGAGUCACAUUAAUCACGUUAACAUUUAUUUAUGAAAGCGUAUGCUAGGAACUGUAGAAUAGUUUUACUAGAAAAGUAUUUAAAUAACCAUCGAAAAACCAAAUACUUGACUAACUAAUUAAUUAAAGAUUGUUUCGCGGCAAAAUAUUGUUUCUAACAUAUAAACGGCAUUAUUACGAAGCUAACAUAACUGGUACGGGUCGAAAUUGAACAACAACGCAAAAGAUAUUGAAUAAUUAAUGAACUACAGAAUUAAAGCAACGUUGCACAUUAGGAUUGGCUACAACCAAGGCCACACUGUGGGUCACAUGGAAAACAAAUACACAAGAUCCAAAAAGGGGAUCAAAUGUGGCUAUGGUUGUUCUCUUCUCCCUUGAGGCACGAGUCGCACAACACACAGGGAGAGGUUCCUUAUGCCUUCUUCCACCUUGGGAAAACAGAGAAUAGCAUGGGGAGAAGGAAUGAGAAGGAAUCGGCCAUGGGAGAGAAGAGAGAAGAGGGGAUCAACCAGGUGAGAGAAGGGAGAAGAGGGGAUCAGCCAUGGUGGUCUCCAGGCCUGGGGAGGGGCUAGGCUCGGUCUCCUGCAAGGAUGGCGAGCAGUGCAGGGUCCUGCUCGCGCACGCAGGGGCUAGAUGGGCGUUGUGCCGCUGCUAGCCAGGGGGUUGGUCGGGGCACCGCUGACUGCACCAAGGGUUAAAUGAAUCACACCAGGGUUGUUGGUCAUGCUGCGCGCUGGGCUCCAUGGCCACGCCGAGGGGACUAGGCCACCGCAUCAAGGGGCUAGGAGCAGGGGGCUCUGCUCCGGCCGCCAUGGUAGUGCGAGAGGGCUGGCCACGAGAAUGGCUAGGCUGCGGUCGUGGGCGCGGAUGACGGCGUCGUCGAGCAAUGUGUCAUAGCGGUGAGGGUCUUCGCUAGUUGAGCACGGAGACGAACGGGAAGGAAAAAUCACCAGAGGAGGUUUCUCACCUUGAUACAUGGCCGGGACGCCGAUGGUUUGGACAUGAGCGAUGGUGAGCGCGGCACGGCUCCUCUGCCCGACGGUGAGCAAGACGUGGGGUGGCUAUUGUGCGGUCGGGAGAUGGCUGCGCUCUAUGAGACCAAGGGAGGGGAGAGCGGAUACCAGCGAUACAAAUAUGGGCGACUGGGUGAACGGUUGGUAGGAACGUGCGUCGUGGCCGAUUCAAGCAGAAG